UUCGGAUCGUAAAGCUCUGUUGUUAGGGAAGAACAAGUACCGUUCGAAUAGGGCGGUACCUUGACGGUACCUAACCAGAAAGCCACGGCUAACUACGUGCCAGCAGCCGCGGUAAUACGUAGGUGGCAAGCGUUGUCCGGAAUUAUUGGGCGUAAAGGGCUCGCAGGCGGUUUCUUAAGUCUGAUGUGAAAGCCCCCGGCUCAACCGGGGAGGGUCAUUGGAAACUGGGGAACUUGAGUGCAGAAGAGGAGAGUGGAAUUCCACGUGUAGCGGUGAAAUGCGUAGAGAUGUGGAGGAACACCAGUGGCGAAGGCGACUCUCUGGUCUGUAACUGACGCUGAGGAGCGAAAGCGUGGGGAGCGAACAGGAUUAGAUACCCUGGUAGUCCACGCCGUAAACGAUGAGUGCUAAGUGUUAGGGGGUUUCCGCCCCUUAGUGCUGCAGCUAACGCAUAAGCACUCCGCCU
rnacentral:rRNA from 1 species